GUCUUCGUGGCGUAGAAUAACUCACUCCCAUCUGCUGCCACAGGUAUCAUGAAUUAUGCCAGGGAGAGCCGGUGGUUCGACCCCACCCGAAGACG